ensembl:lncRNA ADAMTS9-AS1 ADAMTS9 antisense RNA 1
GUUGCCAUGCAGAAUGUCUGUUGGUCAGUUGGGCACAUCUGCACACAUUUACAAUAUCUGCCACCUCUUUUAACCCUCAACCCCGCCCCACAAAAUGAGUGAUGGUGCUUGUUGAUUUGCAGAUUCACAGUCUGGUGAGACAAGUUUGAGAUCUCAUAUUUUCAGCUCAUCCUUGAAAACCUUUCUUCGAUUUGACUGACCUUGAUGGCUCCCUGGAAUCUCACCUACAUUUUAUGGGAAAUUCAACUCUCCAGAGAGAAGAGCUUUCAGAUAGCUGCGGGACUUGCAACUGUGACUUUCAGCUUUCGCUUUUGAAUGAGGCUCCAAAUGUCUCAAUGGUGGCACUAUUUCCAGAUUUGGGACAUUAAGUUUUGCAAAAUUAAAUGACUACAUUUACAGUCAUGGAGGAGAGACAUUGCCUCAACUCGGUUUCUUCUGAUGUGUCUUUGAAACAGAGCCCUGCAAAGCUAAUCUGCUCAACCUUCACCUACUGGGUUCAAUGAAUAUGAAAAGCUGCCUUCCUGAAACUUUUCCUUCAAAGAGGGAAUGAUCUCCUGGAAUUCAAGCUUCUACAAGGUGGCUACCUGGUGUUUUCCACUUUUGCCGUCUCCUAAAAAGCAUCAUUCAAGCCUUGCCCUUUCAACCCACUGAACACAUAAACAUGCUUUCUCCUUAACUGAACUUAUGGCCACGAUGAACUUGAACUCUGAGAUUCACAGAGGAGAGUUUGUUUUAACAGCUGCUUUUACAAUGAAGCCCUGGAGUUACUACUCUCAAGACCCCUGGUUCUGAUAGGCCAUCUUUUCACUGUCCUCUGCAUUUUCUAAUGCCCAGCUGUCA